rnacentral:rRNA from 1 species
AUUGAACGCUGGCGGCAGGCCUAACACAUGCAAGUCGAGCGGCAGCGGGUCCUUCGGGAUGCCGGCGAGCGGCGGACGGGUGAGUAAUGCCUAGGAAUCUGCCUGGUAGUGGGGGAUAACGUUCGGAAACGGACGCUAAUACCGCAUACGUCCUACGGGAGAAAGUGGGGGAUCUUCGGACCUCACGCUAUCAGAUGAGCCUAGGUCGGAUUAGCUAGUUGGUGGGGUAACGGCUCACCAAGGCGACGAUCCGUAACUGGUCUGAGAGGAUGAUCAGUCACACUGGAACUGAGACACGGUCCAGACUCCUACGGGAGGAAGCAGUGGGGAAUAUUGGACAAUGGGCGAAAGCCUGAUCCAGCCAUGCCGCGUGUGUGAAGAAGGUCUUCGGAUUGUAAAGCACUUUAAGUUGGGAGGAAGGGCAGCUAGUUAAUACCUGGUUGUUUUGACGUUACCAACAGAAUAAGCACCGGCUAACUUCGUGCCAGCCGCCGCCGUAAUAC